rnacentral:RNase_P_RNA from 1 species
UUGGGAAGGUGACUGAGCGGGUGAUUACAUAUCCUCCGUUAGGAAAGUCCAUGCUAGCACAGACCCACUCGUUGGGUUUGUAGUGUUUGUGCCAAGGGAAACAAUAACCUUGGGUAUACAGUAAUGUAUAACGGCGAUUUUAAUGAGCUAAGGCUUGCUAUGCUCAAAAUCGUAACGUGCCACAGAAACGUGUCAGUUUAGAAAUGAACUGAAUGAAACGCGGUAAACCCCUCAAGCUAGAAACCCAAAAUAUGGUAGGGGCACGAGAUUCAUAGUAAUAUAGAAUCUUGCGAGUUUAUACUCGAGAUAAAUAGUCACAAGAAGGAAACUUCUACAGAACAUGGCUUAUACAC